rnacentral:rRNA from 1 species
CCUCAAAUCAGGUAGGACUACCCGCUGAACUUAAGCAUAUCAAUAAGCGGAGGAAAAGAAACUAMCAAGGAUUCCCCCAGUAACUGCGAGUGAAGAGGGAAAAGCUCAAAUUUGAAAUCUGGCAGUCAUUGGCUGUCCGAAUUGUAAAUUAGAGAAGUGUCAUCUGUGCUGGCCUGUGCAAAAAAGUCCCUUGGAAAAGGGCAUCAUAGAGGGUGACAAUCCCGUCUUUGGCACAGAUUUAUCAGUGCUUUGUGAUGCGCUCUCAAAGAGUCGAGUUGUUUGGGAAUGCAGCUCCAAAUGGGUGGUAAAUUCCAUCUAAAGCUAAAUAUUGGCGAGAGACCGAUAGCGCACAAGUACCGUGAGGGAAAGAUGAAAAGAACUUUGAAAAGAGAGUUAAACAGUAUGUGAAAUUGUUGAAAGGGAAACGCUUGAAGUCAGUUGUCUCAUGUAGGAAUCAAUUCAACCCUUGGUUGAAUGCACUUUCUGCAAGAGGGAGUCAGCAUCAAUUUUGACCGUUGGAGAAAGGCCUUGAGAAUGUGGCAUCUUCGGAUGUGUUUAAAGAUCAAGGUUUCAUAAACAACGGUUGGGAUUGAGGAAUUCAGCGUGACAUGAUUUAUUAUGUUUGGGGCCCUUGGGCCCACAUUUACACGCUUGGGAUGUUGACAUAA